GUCAGUUGGGGUUGUUUCAACUAAAACUGAUGGGCAGCUGGAGUACUGCUUCAACUACAGAUUUGAAGGUUACUCCGGAGGUCUUCUGCAUGCCAGUAACUGAUAAAGAUACCAAGGAGCACCAUGCUGGAGAAUUUUGUGGGCCGGACCUAUAAUGACUGUCUUCAUGAACACUUAACCAAUGAAAAGUAAUAAACUAAGGUUUCACUGAGUGAAGAAUGCAAUUUCAAUUGAGCACUGAAUUGGAGAUUCUGAGAACUAGGGUUUUAUUACCAGCUCCAUCACUGACAUAGAGUGGGACAUUAGGAAAACAUUACUUUUCUGCUCU